rnacentral:rRNA from 1 species
UACGUAGGGGGCAAGCGUUGUCCGGAAUCAUUGGGCGUAAAGCGCGCGUAGGCGGCCCGGUAAGUCCGCUGUAAAAGUCCAGGGCUCAACCCUGGAAAGCCGGUGAAUACUGUCGGGCUAGAGUCCGGAAGAGGCGAGUGGAAUUCCUGGUGUAGCGGUGGAAUGCGCAGAUAUCAGGAGGAACACCGAUGGCGAAGGCAGCUCGCUGGGACGGUACUGACGCUGAGGCGCGAAAGCGUGGGGAGCGAACAGG